rnacentral:rRNA from 1 species
AUUGAACGCUGGCGGCAUGCCUUACACAUGCAAGUCGAACGGCUGCACGGGAGCAAUCCUGGUGGCGAGUGGCGAACGGGUGAGUAAUGUAUCGGAACGUGCCCAGUCGUGGGGGAUAACGUAGCGAAAGCCACGCUAAUACCGCAUACGAUCUAUGGAUGAAAGCGGGGGAUCGCAAGACCUCGCGCGAUUGGAGCGGCCGAUAUCAGAUUAGGUAGUUGGUGGGGUAAAGGCUCACCAAGGCGACGAUCUGUAGCUGGUCUGAGAGGACGACCAGCCACACUGGGACUGAGACACGGCCCAGACUCCUACGGGAGGCAGCAGUGGGGAAUUUUGGACAAUGGGCGCAAGCCUGAUCCAGCAGUGCCGCGUGCAGGAUGAAGGCCUUCGGGUUGUAAACUGCUUUUGUACGGAACGAAACGGCGAGCUCUAAUACAGUUUGCUAAUGACGGUACCGUAAGAAUAAGCACCGGCUAACUACGUGCCAGCAGCCGCCGUAA